rnacentral:rRNA from 1 species
AGUCGAGCGAGCUGAACAGCAGAUUCACUUCGGUGAUGACGCUGGGAACGCGAGCGGCGGAUGGGUGAGUAACACGUGGGUAACCUGCCCUAAAGUCUGGGAUACCACUUGGAAACAGGUGCUAAUACCGGAUAACAACAAUAGCUGCAUGGCUAUUGCUUAAAAGGCGGCGAAAGCUGUCGCUAAAGGAUGGACCCGCGGUGCAUUAGCUAGUUGGUAAGGUAAUGGCUUACCAAGGCGACGAUGCAUAGCCGAGUUGAGAGACUGAUCGGCCACAUUGGGACUGAGACACGGCCCAAACUCCUACGGGAGGCAGCAGUAGGGAAUCUUCCACAAUGGGCGAAAGCCUGAUGGAGCAACGCCGCGUGAGUGAAGAAGGUUUUCGGAUCGUAAAGCUCUGUUGUUGGUGAAGAAGGAUAGAGGUAGUAACUGGCCCCUAUUUGACGGUAAUCAACCAGAAAGUCACGGCUAACUACGUGCCAGCAGCCGCGGUAAUACGUAGGUGGCAAGCGUUGUCCGGAUUUAUUGGGCGUAAAGCGAGCGCAGGCGGAAAGAUAAGUCUGAUGUGAAAGCCCCCGGCUUAACCGAGGAAUUGCAUCGGAAACUGUGUUUCUUGAGUGCAGAAGAGGAGAGUGGAACUCCAUGUGUAGCGGUGGAAUGCGUAGAUAUAUGGAAGAACACCAGUGGCGAAGGCGGCUCUCUGGUCUGUAACUGACGCUGAGGCUCGAAAGCAUGGGUAGCGAACA